UGCCGUAUCAGAAAGAGUCAAGGCAGUCUC
rnacentral:piRNA from 1 species